CAUGCUGAGUUGUUGGCAAAUUCCUUGUAAUCAGAAAGUAAGCAGCUGAUAAAAAAGUCCCAGAUCAGAGCUAUGGCUUAAAACAAAAUGGAAAAGGAAUUGACACAGACCAGAAGUUUGCAGUGUCAUAAGGCACAGCUUUUAUUGUCUUUCAUGACUAAUUGGAGAUCAAAGCAAGGAAGGAGAGCAUCCCAUACACCAAGAGGAAAAUUAACAGCAGGAUUAGUGCUCACAAAGGAUAAACCACACUGAUCAGCGAGGAGAAACUUCAAAGCACAUUCCAGGCAUUUGGUGAUGAAAGGUGAGCAAAGAAGAGGAGAGAUCUGCAGUCUCUAAGCAAAGAAGGAGGAACAUCCAUGGCCGUGUCCGUAUCCAUGUCCAUAUCCAGCAGCGAGGAGCCAGGGGGGAGCAGCAGGAGAGCAGCAGCAGGGAAGCUGAGCGCAGCCUUGCUCUGCACCCAGGGCUUUAGUUGCCACAGCCGCAGCAGCCACCGUUGUUGUUGUUGCUGCUCAGGGUGUAGCAGCAGGUCAUGGGCAUGCAGCAGGGCGUGGGGCAGCAGUACUGAGAGGGAUAGCAGCACGGUGUCUUGCAGCACCUCGGACUGCUGUAGCAGCAGACGGUGUAGUUGUUGUUGUUGCUGCUCAGGGUGUAGCAGCAGGUCAUGGGCAUGCAGCAGGGCAUGGGGCAGCACUGCGAUGGGCAGCAGCACUGUGAUGGGCAGCAGCACUGCGAGGGAUAGCAGCACUGUGAGGGGCAGCAGCUCUGCGUCUUGCAGCAUGGCGUCUUGCAGGACUUGCUGCUGGUGUAGCAGCAGACGGUGCAGUUAUUGCCACCACCGCAGCAUCCGUUGGGCAUGGUGUCGGUAGGAGUGUAGGCAAAGCUGGAAAGGAAUAGAAAGAGUCUCAUUUUCUCUGCCUGAAUUUCAGUUUAUGCGGCUUAAGGCAUGCUUAUCCCCAAGUCCAUCCCAAACUGGAUGGCAAAGUCCUGAAUCCCAAGACAGCCUGUCCCUGAGAUCUCCAUGUUUUGGUGUUGGCCACCAGCGCAUUUGGCUUAGUGGCCAUCAAAAGGAAGUCACCCAGGUGGACCCCAAAACCAAUCUCUAGAACUGAUCUCAAACAAGACAGUGUAGAAAAUCACAGAUAACUUCCUACAAAGCACACAGAUACAAUACAACACAGAUGAGAAAGCAAGCUUCGAGCUCCAACUUACCCUGUUGACCAGUGAGAACAGGUGAGAGGAACUCAAGAUGAGUGAAUGAAGAGCUGAGUGGUGGGCAGCCUUUUAUAUGCCUCCAAAUGGUACCCCUGGAAAUGAGGCAUUAUUCAGCAAUUCACCUUUUAUCCCCCAGUGUAUGCCUCUCACAUGUCUUCCGGUACUUAAUCUUGACUUCUUUCUGCUUGCUCACCACCUCAAAGCUGCCCCAUAAUUAGUUGAACAUAUGAACAACAGGUGC
rnacentral:lncRNA from 1 species